rnacentral:rRNA from 1 species
UAGGGAAUCUUCGGCAAUGGACGAAAGUCUGACCGAGCAACGCCGCGUGAGUGAAGAAGGUUUUCGGAUCGUAAAACUCUGUUGGUAGAGAAGAACGUUGGUGAGAGUGGAAAGCUCAUCAAGUGACGGUAACUACCCAGAAAGGGACGGCUAACUACGUGCCCC